AGGUUUUAAUGGGAAUAGGAAGGUCAUAAAGAAAGACAUUUUGUGGGGAAUGAAAGAGAAAGUUUAAGAACACUGCCAAGGUAAAAUCAAAUCCCUAUUAGGAUAAAUGAUUGAGUGUUCCUGUAAAGAAUUGUUCCCCUGGUUCAAGCAACCAGAUUUCAUUCCCAGAUGAUCAAAAAUGGACUUGAUGAAAUGGAAAAGCACUGAUAGAAACAGUUCCACUGCUCAAAAUUACUCCUGAAGGGAUGAGGACACCAGGAUAUGCCACCGGACCACUGAAGGAAUGGUGAUGGUAUGAAGAAAGUAUUUUUAAUGAGCAGAGCCAUUGUUUGCUCUGCUCUGUCCUCACCCCUCAAGAGAAUUUCCCUUAUUAUUAUGAAAACUUUUUAUCUUAAAAGAUAUUACAUGUUAAUGGAACUGUCGUUUAACAAAUGUUUUAUAAGUGUACCAAUCAAGCACAUUGUCGAAAUAAAAGAUAUGAAAUAAGUGAAAAAAA
rnacentral:lncRNA from 10 species